AGAGUUUGAUCAUGGCUCAGAACGUACGCUGGCGGCACGCCUAACACAUGCAAGUCGAACGAAGUAGCAAUACUUAGUGGCAGACGGGUGAGUAACAUGUGGGUAUCUGCCCUUUGGCCUGGAAUAACACGAGGAAACUUGUGCUAAUACCGGAUAAGUCUUUACGGAGAAAGCUUUAUGCACCAUUGGAUGAGCCCGCACUUGAUUAGUUUGUUGGUGGGGUAAUGGCCUACCAAGACUGUGAUCAAUAGCUGAUUUGAGAGGAUGAUCAGCCACAUUGGGACUGAGACACGGCCCAAACUCCUACGGGAGGCAGCAGUGGGGAAUCUUGCACAAUGGAGGAAACUCUGAUGCAGCGAUGCCGCGUGAGUGAAGAAGGCCCUUGGGUUGUAAAGCUCUUUCGUCGGGGAAGAAAAUGACUGUACCCGAAUAAGAAGGUCCGGCUAACUUCGUGCCAGCAGCCGCGGUAAUACGAAGGGACCUAGCGUAGUUCGGAAUUACUGGGCUUAAAGAGUUCGUAGGUGGUUGAAAAAGUUAGUGGUGAAAUCCCAGAGCUUAACUCUGGAACUGCCAUUAAAACUUUUCAGCUAGAGUAUGAUAGAGGAAAGCAGAAUUUCUAGUGUAGAGGUGAAAUUCGUAGAUAUUAGAAAGAAUACCAAUUGCGAAGGCAGCUUUCUGGAUCAUUACUGACACUGAGGAACGAAAGCAUGGGUAGCGAAGAGGAUUAGAUACCCUCGUAGUCCAUGCCGUAAACGAUGUGUGCUAGACGUUGGAAACUUAGUUUUCAGUGUCGCAGCGAAAGCAUUAAGCACACCGCCUGGGGAGUACGACCGCAAGGUUAAAACUCAAAUGAAUUGACGGGGACCCGCACAAGUAGUGGAGCAUGUGGUUUAAUUCGAAGAUACGCGCAGAACCUUACCAACACUUGACAUGUUCGUCGCGACUCUAAGAGAUUAGAGUUUUCGGUUCGGCCGGACGAAACACAGGUGCUGCAUGGCUGUCGUCAGCUCGUGUCGUGAGAUGUUGGGUUAAGUCCCGCAACGAGCGCAACCCUCACUUUUAGUUGCCAUCAUUAAGUUGGGCACUCUGAAAGAACUGCCAGUGAUAAGCUGGAGGAAGGUGGGGAUGACGUCAAGUCCUCAU
rnacentral:rRNA from 1 species